UACGAAGGUCCCAAGCGUUAUCCGGAUUUAUUGGGUUUAAAGGGUGCGUAGGCGGGUUAUCAAGUCAGUGGUGAAAGCUCCAUGCCUAACAUGGAAAUUGCCAUUGAUACUGAUGAUCUUGAGUACAUUUGAAGUGGGCGGAAUGUGUCAUGUAGUGGUGAAAUACUUAGAUAUGACACAGAACACCGAUUGCGUAGGCAGCUCACUAAACUGUAACUGACGCUGAGGCACGAAAGCGUGGGGAGCAAACAGG
rnacentral:rRNA from 1 species